CCCCCCCCCCCCCCCCCCGUAAACCAAUAGCAUUCCAUCUAACAUCUAAAUAAAGGGACAUUUUUAAAACAGAAGGAGGUAAACAAAUGAUUUCUUCUUUCGAAAGUUGCUGGCAAGAACAAACUAAAGAUUCAGGUCAGAGUCAGACUACACCUGUUGGCUCUAGAAUCAGGAAGUGUGUCACCUUUGAAUAGCGUGGUUUAAUCAAAGCCACUAAAACAUUUUUUUUUUCCUUUUGAACCCUUUAUCAACUCCCCUCCCCUCCUUUCUAUUCGCUUCCCCCCCCCC